CCGAGUUUACAACUCCCAAACCCAAUGUGAACCAUACCAAACUGUUGCCUCGGCGGGGUCACGCCCCGGGUGCGUCGCAGCCCCGGAACCAGGCGCCCGCCGGAGGGACCAACCAAACUCUUGUAGUCCUUGGGUUAUUUCUCUGAAGUUGAGCUUUAAAAUAAAGAAUCA
rnacentral:misc_RNA from 1 species